rnacentral:rRNA from 1 species
GACGAACGCUGGCGGCGUGCUUAACACAUGCAAGUCGAACGGAAAGGCCCUGCUUUUGUGGGGUGCUCGAGUGGCGAACGGGUGAGUAACACGUGAGUAACCUGCCCUUGACUUUGGGAUAACUUCAGGAAACUGGGGCUAAUACCGGAUAGGAGCUCCUGCUGCAUGGUGGGGGUUGGAAAGUUUCGGCGGUUGGGGAUGGACUCGCGGCUUAUCAGCUUGUUGGUGGGGUAGUGGCUUACCAAGGCUUUGACGGGUAGCCGGCCUGGGGGGGUGACCGGCCACCUGGGGCAUACGGGACGGCCCAGCUCCGAAGAGGGGACAGUGGGCGGAAUUUUGGUCAAGAGGGGGGGGGUCUGGUAGCGCAGCCCCGGGGGUGUAAAGGGCGGUGUGAGGUGAAAACGACCUUCCAGUGAGUAAGGAGGGGGGUUGACGUUAAGGGGAAAAUAAGCACCGGCUAACUCCGUG